GCCCGGCGGGCUCAGUCGGUAGAGCACGUGACUCCUGAUCUCAGGGUCGUGAGUUUGAGCCCCACGUUGGGUG
rnacentral:tRNA from 1 species